UACGGAGGGUGCGAGCGUUGUCCGGAAUCACUGGGCGUAAAGGGCGCGUAGGCGGCCUGAUAAGUAGGGGGUGAAAUCCUGCGGCUUAACCGCAGGGCUGCCUUCUAAACUGUCGGGCUAGAGCACGGUAGAGGCAGAUGGAAUUCCCGGUGUAGCGGUGGAAUGCGUAGAGAUCGGGAAGAACAUCAGUGGCGAAGGCGGUCUGCUGGGCCGUUGCUGACGCUGAGGCGCGACAGCGUGGGGAUCAAACAGG
rnacentral:rRNA from 1 species